GACGAACGCUGGCGGCGUGCUUAACACAUGCAAGUCGAACGGAAAGGCCCUGCUUUUGUGGGCUGCUCGAGUGGCGAACGGGUGAGUAACACGUGAGUAACCUGCCCUUGACUUUGGGAUAACUUCAGGAAACUGGGGCUAAUACCGGAUAGGAGCUCCUGCUGCAUGGUGGGGGUUGGAAAGUUUCGGCGGUUGGGGAUGGACUCGCGGCUUAUCAGCUUGUUGGUGGGGUAGUGGCUUACCAAGGCUUUGACGGGUAGCCGGCCUGAGAGGGUGACCGGCCACAUUGGGACUGAGAUACGGCCCAGACUCCUACGGGAGGCAGCAGUGGGGAAUAUUGCACAAUGGGCGGAAGCCUGAUGCAGCAACGCCGCGUGCGGGAUGACGGCCUUCGGGUUGUAAACCGCUUUCGCCUGUGACGAAGCGUGAGUGACGGUAAUGGGUAAAGAAGCACCGGCUAACUACGUG
rnacentral:rRNA from 1 species